rnacentral:rRNA from 1 species
GACGAACGCUGGCGACGUGCUUAACACAUGCAAGUCGAGCGGAGAAUAUAGCAAUAUAUUCUUAGCGGCGGACGGGUGAGUAACGCGUGGGCAAUCUGCCUCAUACAGGGGGAUAACACUGGGAAACUAGUGCUAAUACCGCAUAAAAUAAUGAAGUGGCAUCACUUUAUUAUCAAAGGAGAAAUCCGGUGUGAGAUGAGCCCGCGUCCGAUUAGAUAGUUGGAGGGGUAACGGCCCACCAAGGCGACGAUCGGUAGCCGAACUGAGAGGUUGAUCGGCCACAUUGGGACUGAGACACGGCCCAGACUCCUACGGGAGGCAGCAGUGGGGAAUAUUGCGCAAUGGGGGAAACCCUGACGCAGCAACGCCGCGUGAAGGAUGAAGGUUUUCGGAUUGUAAACUUCUUUGAUUGGGGAAGAUAAUGACGGUACCCAAAAAACAAGCCACGGCUAACUACGUGCCAGCAGCCGCGGUAA